GGAGGGGUGCGAGAGCGGCCGAAUCGGCACGCUUGGAAAGCGUGUGUGGGGAAACUCACCGUGGGUUCGAAUCCCACCCUCUCCGCCA
rnacentral:tRNA from 2 species